GAUGAACGCUGGCGGCGUGCUUAACACAUGCAAGUCGAACGAUGAAGCCCAGCUUGCUGGGUGGAUUAGUGGCGAACGGGUGAGUAACACGUGAGUAACCUGCCCUUAACUCUGGGAUAAGCCUGGGAAACUGGGUCUAAUACCGGAUAGGAGCGUCCACCGCAUGGUGGGUGUUGGAAAGAUUUAUCGGUUUUGGAUGGACUCGCGGCCUAUCAGCUUGUUGGUGAGGUACUGGCUCACCAAGGCGACGACGGGUAGCCGGCCUGGGAGGGUGACCGGCCACACUGGGACUGAGACACGGCCCAGACUCCUACGGGAGGCAGCAGUGGGGAAUAUUGCACAAUGGGCGCAAGCCUGAUGCAGCGACGCCGCGUGAGGGAUGACGGCCUUCGGGUUGUAAACCUCUUUCAGUAGGGAAGAAGCGAAAGUGACGGUACCUGCAGAAGAAGCACCGGCUAACUACGUG
rnacentral:rRNA from 1 species